GAGGUGGGCGGAUCACUUGAGGUCAGGAGUUCAGGACCAGCCUGGCCAACAUGGUGAAACCCCGUCUCUACUAAAGAUACAAAAAGAUACUCUCUCCAAAAAAAAAAAAAAAAAAAAAAAAAAAAAAUUGAGGGAAGAAUAAAAUGAAUAUACAAUUUCAAGAAAAAGAAAUGGAGCAAUGUAAGAUUUCUGAGUGUUGAAGAGGCUGCUCAUGAAGUUUCAAAUUGGAUACCAGGGACGCUGCAUUGGUGGCAUUUGUAUUCCAGCAUCCACACUUUAAAAAACGGUGUAGUUUACUGGGCAUGGUGGCCCACACCUGUAAUCCCAGAACUUUGAGAGGCCAAGGCAGCCAGAUCACUUGAGGCCAGGAGUUUGAGACCAGAAAAACAAAAACAAAACAAAACAAAACCAGAUUAGGCCAUUUCUUGCUUUAAAUAUUUGACAAAAUUCCUAAUACUUUGGUAUUCCUAAUUUUUUGUAUAGUACACUUGAAAUAUAAUAAAAUAAAAUUAUUUUAUUUCAA
rnacentral:lncRNA from 1 species